CCUUUGGCUAGUUGGUCACCGUGACCUUUAGUUCCAACCCGGGGGGCUCAUACCUGCCCAUCUCCUGGGGUUCGGCCGCCCUCCCCUUGCUACCCUUCGCUCACAAGCUGAUGGUUGUGCUGGACGUUUCCUGGCCGAGUGCCCAGGUCAGGUAGGAGCACAGACUGUGGUGCCCCUGGGCUUUGGCCAAACAGGUCUCCCUCUUGACUUGGGUCCGUGACCUGGACCUGUCCCCCUCCCCCUCCCCCUCCUUCACUCCCUCCUCCCCCAGGACCUAAAUCAGCCCCUUUGCCCCUAGUUCUGGGGCCUGAGGCCAGUGCAAAGGACCAGUGGCUGGGAACCUCCAGGGAGCAGCCGUGGGCUCCCCUCUGCCUGGCUGUCUGCUGCUCCUUGCUGCCUGGUAGCUCCACCUCCCAGGUGGCCAGGUGAAUUCCCCACCUGGCACUCUGCCUGCUACAAGUCUCUGGCCACAGUGCCCAGCCUGACCGAUGUGCCUGACCACAGAACUCCCCAGCCCUCUGCCAGCAGCCCACUCCUGUAGUUGUCUCCCCCUACCUGCUGCCACACACCUGCCACCUGCCACCAAGUCCAAGCACCACUCCUCAGCCCCAGAAGCCACGCUUCCUGCCCCUUACCCCGCACAGCGUGGGUGUGGGCACUUACCCCAAGUUUCCAAUAACCCCCCGGUGCCCACAGCACAGGCCGCUGCUGGCAUCUUCAUCUCCCAAAAGCUGUCCUCCCACGGGCCUGGCUCCCCAGGGCCGCGGUGAUCAUGGACUGCAGCAUCUCCUGUCCCGCUGGACCCAGAGACCCUCGUGACCUUGCCUUGGUGGCACUGCCCCCAGCCCGCCCAGACUGUCGCACAAGCUUCUGGGAUCCUGUGCCUGCGCCGGGGACUUGCUGGCUACUCAGCACGGGUUUUGCCCUUGUUUGCAUCUCUUUUCUGCCAUUGCUCACCUCACAUUUCCUUACCCCCGAACACCUGCUGCAGGGUUAGCCUCGUCCUGGGCACGUGGGCUGUGACCUGGCUGGGUUGGCUGAAGAACAGGAUCGAAGAGGCUAAAGCACCCCUGAGGCCACCGCCCUGACCCACCCGUCUCAUGAUCACCUGGCACCUUAACGCCGAGCCCAAUGGGUCUUGACUCCUUCCUGGUUUCAGCUGAAGCUGUCACCCUGGACUCCUCUGUGGGAUGGGACCUCUGGACCUUCGACUCAGCACCCUCCAGCUUUAAAUCGGCAGGCUAGGAUGGAAGUGCCCUUGUGAGCUGGGGGGCCUUCAAGGGCUGAGGAGAAACGCAGGCCGAGGGACCAGCCUCUCGCAUGGGCUCCAAGCUCCAGUGACCUCCACUCACCCCCUUGAAAUGUCUGGAAAACAUAAUGGACAGAUUUUCUGUCUUCAAAGUUUCCGGCUUAAACCUCUUCAAGUUCUUCAUUGUUUGGGACUGAGACACUCAGCAAUGGAAUGGGUAGCUCCUUUUGUAUUUGCCUUGAAAGGCCAAAAUAUUUUUAUAUUGCUGUAGACAAAGCCAUCUAUUUAAACUGAACUCCAUGUACUUCAUUUCCCACCGGGGAGACCGUGUACAAUGUGUGUGUCUCUAUGUAUUUGAGAGUCUUGAAACAGGUUUCUCAUGGGGAUGGCCAUUCAUGGGGGAUCCAGGGGGGCAGAGUUGGAAGUGCCUGCCUUGCCAAGUGGCCUCAGGAAUCUGGGCUGUAGUCUCAGAUCUGCCCCUGUUUGCCCAGGACAUGAGCCCCGGGAUGGUGUGGCCGCUCUGAUGUUGGUUUGCCUCUGCCCUGCAUCUGCCAUUUGUAUGUGUUUCACGACUGUGGAUUGUACACACCUUGACGACUAACUUAAGAUCUAAGCUGUUGUCAAUGUUCUGUUUUUCUGUUUGGGAGGUGAUUUCACUGGUGUCUUUUAUACUGUCAAAGUAAGUGGGUGGGGAAAUGCAUGAGUGACUGAAAGCAGAAGGAAUAAAUAAACAGUCAAGGAAGUAAGCAAACCAGGCAGAGAGGGUAUUCCUUGGACCCAUGAUGAGAAUGUACAGUGAACAAGAGAGUGUGAUUAAUCCAAUCUGAUGCACCCAGGAAAUCAUUAAAUAAAUCAAUAAGAUAUCAAUUCAACAAAAAGGUAGAAAAUCAGAGAGGGCUACACACGAACCAAUAGUUGGCGAUCAUGGGCCAAGGCAUAUGUGCGAUAUUGAGGUUUGCCAAUAAAAGGAUAACAACCCAAAUAAAUGAAUGAGUGAGGCAUGGAAAUAAACCAAGGAUGAGGAUGAGCUUUGGAGACCCAUUCAAUGAAAAGAUGCAAGAGAGAGGGAACAAGCAGAGGGAAAAGGAGAAGGAAAAUGGGUACAAACCUACAAGCAAAAAAAAUUAGAAGAAGAAAGACAAAAAGAAAAUGAGGGGACGAGUAAAUCUAUAAGGAGGGCCAUAGAAGGUUAUUAUAAGCCAAGCAUUAGAAUUCAUCCAAAUAUGUGCUCCUGGAAUAGGAAAAGAAAUAAGUAACAGAGAAAGAGCUCCAAGGGUAAGUUCAAAAAAGAAAGAGGGCCCAGUAGAUCAAAGAUGAAGUGUACUUUAACCAAAGUUUAACUCUAGGCACCCAGAGUCUCCAUGUAAAUCAGUAAAUACCAAAAUAAAAGAAAGCCCGAAAGAGAGAAAGAAUGUGUGGAUGGAUGGAUGAGUGAGAGAUGAAGAUACAUGGGGCCCAGCGAGAGUGUCACAGGGUGGGUUCCCGGUCAUCCAGUCCUGACAGCUGAGGUUUGUUAGAAGAAAGGAUACAAAAAUGAGAGAAAGAGAGAAAAUAUCCAAUAGAAAUCAGGAAAUAUGGAAGAAAAAGUAGCCAAGACACACAGAAAUAAAUUAAUGCGUGAAUAAGAAGUAAAUACAUAAAAGAAGGCAAUGCUGGCAGUAAGGGUGAAGGCCAUCAUGAAUCUGGGGUGUGGUCAAUCCAAUUCUAAAAACCAGCCCUCUAUCAAUAAAAUAAGUAUCUGAAUAAGAGAAAGGCUGAGGAAGGGAUGCAUGCUGGAGUGUGUGGCUGGAGAAGCCGUGGCCCCAUGGCCACCCCUGACUAGGGUGUUGGACGCUUGUAAUUAAUCCCAGCUGGGCACCUGAGGUCCAUAAGAAAGUGAGAGAAGAGUGAAAAUGUGACAAAGGAAAAAAAAAAAGUGAGAAAGUGAAAGUGAGAAACAGUGUGAGGUAGGAGGAGAUAUGGAAGCUGUAACAGGAGAGAUGUGAACAUACAAAGAUAACAGCUAACUAAAGGGAUACGUGGGUAGAUCCACUAGAGAAAGCUGGGCUAGGACUGAUGCUAAGGAGACAUCACAAACCAUGGGUUCUAAGUGGCCUAAUUCUGAGCCCCUAGUUCCAUUAAUAGAGAAAUAAAUACCUAAUGAAACAAAGAAGGCAAGCAGGAUGGAAGGUAUGAAUGAAUGAAGAAAACCCAAAACCAAACCAAACCUGUUGCCAUCGAGUCGAUUCUGACUCAUAGCGAACUUAUAGGAAAGAGUAGAACUGCCUCAUACAGUUUCCAAAGAGCGCCUGGUGGAUUUGAGCUGCCGACCUCUUGGUUACCAGCUGUAGCUCUUAACCACUAUGCCUCCAGGAAUGAAAGAAAGGAGGGAGGAAUUAAUGACUGAAUGAGAGGUGGAGCUGUAUGGGCCAGGGGUGGGUAUUUGCGAUGGCAUUAGAUCCAUCAGUCCAUGGUGACUGAGCUCCAGAGUAAAAGAAUGCAAAAGAGAGAGGGAGAGAGUGAAAGAGAGAAUAAAUGAAAAAAUGAGAAGAAACUGAGAACUAAAAGAGAAGAAAGGCAGUAUCCUGACAACCAAGCAGAUAAACGUGUACACAUGUGAAAAAGAACCAUGCUAGGAGUAAGGAGAGGGUGCCAUGAACCAAGCACAGAGCCUGAUUUAUGUUUGUGCUCCUGAGAUGGGUCAACCACCAUCCAACCAAGAAACAGUUCACGGAAUAACUGUGUAAGUGAGGCCAAGGAGAGUGCCCAUUAGCUAGAGAUUAGGAUUAUCCAAUCAGGUCUACCUACAAUCUAGAAAUAUGGAAAUAAAUAUCAUAUAUAAAUAGAAAGACUGAUGAACGCACGAAUGAAUGAGUGAGGAGAAACAUGGACGUUGGCCCCUGAGAAGGGUAUUUCGGAGGGAGGUUGGACCCCUGAUCUCCAAAAGAAUGAAAGACUGUAAGAGAGUGAAAGAAUGAUAGAAAGAAAUAAUGAAGACGGGGAAAAAUGAAAGAGGAAAUAAGGGAAUAAAAACAUAAUAAAUGAGCAAGUUGAGUAAUAACUGUAAGAUAGGGCUAGUUUAGCACAGGUUGCCCUGAUUAAUUCAAAUCUGUGGUCCUGAAGCUUAUAAAUAACAAUAAUAGUAACACAAAUAAAAGACUGGAUGAAAGACCGAAUGCCUGAGUUCCAUUAGAAUACAAAAAAAGGAGAUGGAAAGAAUUAGAGCACCCAACCCCCACCCCCCGCCAAAGCAAAACCAAACCCAGUGCCAUUGAGUUGACUCCGACUCAUAGCGACCCUGUAGGACAGAGUAGAACUGCCCCAUAGAGUUUCCAAGGAGCACCUGGUGGAUUCGAACUGCCGACCCUUUGGUUAGCAGCCGUAGCACUUAACCACUACACCACCAGGGUUUCCUAGAGAAGGAAAGAUGUAGGAAAAGAAGUUAAAAUAGCCAUAUGGAAGAAAGAGCACUAAGUGGUUAAGUGCUUAAAUACCAUGAACAUAGUUUUUCACUAAAUAUAAUAAGUGGUAUAAGUUGAGGUUCAUCAAAAAAAGAACAAAAAUCUAAAAAGAAAGGAAGAAAGAAAGGAUGAAUGGAUGGAGAAAUGACUAUGAAUGAAUGAAUGAGAAAUGAGGAUUUUAAUGAAUUUAGUUCUGCACCUGAGGCUCAUAAAAGGAUGCAAAAAAGAGAAAGAAAGAAAGGAGGAACUAUAGAAAAUUAUGGCAAGAUGUACCUAGGCAAUAAAAAUACAUUGGGUAAAUAAAUAGAUACAUACAUGAAGCUAUGAGAGAGAGGGCCAUGCUCAAGCAAAAUGGUGAGAAGGCAUCAUGAACCAACACUUACGACUAAUCUGAAACUGGGCUCCUGAGGUGGUUAAAUUAAUCUUAAACCAAAUCAUCAUGGCCAGGAAUUAAUGAACAAAAGAGACCCCACUCGGACCAGCACUGAGAAGGCUCCAUGAGCUACAGAUUACGGCUAAUCUGAUUCUGUGCACCUGUGGUUCAUAAAUAAAAGAAUAAAUAUUGAAAUAUAAGGGUGACGGAAGGAAUGAAUGGAUACACGAACAACUGAAUUGGAAAUGGAAAUGCCUGGGACAGCUGGGAGAGCUUCCUCCAUGGGCUUCUCACUUACUGUGCGCACUCCGGGCACCUGGGGUCUGGAAGAGUACAAAGAUAAAGAAAGAAAGUGUCCGAAAGGGAAAGAAAGAGAUAAGGAGAGAUAAAAUGGAAUUAAUGAAAGAGAAAGGAAGAAUGCAACUAAAAGGUACCCAACUUGUGGGCCUAUCUGUAAGAGAGGUUCUGUUAGGAUUGGCAGUUAAUCCUAAAAUCGAUGAGAUCAUCCAAAUCCACGUUCCCUGGGGGAGGGAAAAUGGAGAAAAUAACCAAAUAAGCAAAAAAAAAAAAAAAAAAGAUAACAAACAACCAAAGUAAUAAAUGAAUAUUUAAGAGAGGUUGUCUGAACAGGGAUUGUAAAUAGUUCAAACAUGUACUCUUUAGAUAGAUAAAUACAUUGUACCUGUCAAAGAGUAUAUGAAAAAGAGAGGGACACACCUGGCCCAAAGACCGGGCUGCAUCUUCCACCAUUAUCAUAAAAACAUGUGCAACUGAGGCCCAUAAAUAAAAGAAUACAUACCUAGAUAUAAAAGUGGCCCAACGUGGGGAAGGAAAUAUUGCCAGUGCACAUACAAAGACCAGUGACAUUUAUUUUGCACAUGGGGUUUUGAUUAAUACAGUUACAUGCACAGGAGACUAAUAAGUGAAAGAAUACCCCAAAUAAGAAAGAAAGGAGGAAUAUAUGAGUGAGUGGAGGAAUGAAUGAAUGAAUAAAUGAGAAAUUGAGUCCUACAGUCCAGGGAUGAGGUGUUGCAUGUCUGAUUCUCAUACAUAAUUCCGUAUGCCUGAGUUACAUCAAAUCAGAAUGAACGGAUGACAGGAAGGAAGGAAGGAAAGAAGGAAGGUGGGAAGGAAGAGAGGAAGGAAAGAAAGGAGGGAGGAGGGAAGGAUAGCCUGUGUUCCAGCCCGCAAGUAAAGUGGUUCCCAGGGAAAGAGGCCAUUGGCAUGUUGUGAGCUUGUUAGAUGCAGUUUUCCUGGCAAGGAGGGGCGGGCUCAGAAGACCUGACCUUGGAGUGCCAUUGCCUUGCCCUGGCUGUGUGGGCCAUUUCGCUUCAUCUCUCGCAUUCUCAGUUCCCCCAUCUGCAAACCUGGAAUGGCAUCCGCUCCUUGCUUGGAUUGAUUAUGGGGUAAAUGUUCUCAUCCCUGUUGGCGAUGUCCUGUCUCUAGCUCAGAACAGGAGGGUUGGGCUUAGGCCGGGCCCUGCAGAAGGUUGCAUGAACAUAGGGUGUUAAGCUGGGUGGGCAUCUCGGCCCCUCCCUUGGCGAGGGUCACCUGUGAGCUCCCUAUGAGGGAGACUUCACCCGCCAGGGGGCAGCAAAGGGCAAGAGAGCAGGAGGCACUGGGCGGAGUGGGGCUGCCCGGUGCUCCAUUCUGGGGGUGGUACCCAGUCGCAUCCAGGGCCCAUGGUCCGGAAAGACAGAGGCCAGACAGUGGCCAGGAACGUCCAUGCAGAGUGACCCAAUGGAGGAACCCAGUGGAGGCUCUGGGUGUCCAGAGGCUGACCACCAGAAAUCUUGUUCUUGCAACUUUCUGACAUGUGUCCUGGGCCAGUCCCUGAUGGGUGGGUGCGUCUCAGUCCCCACUUUGCAGAAACGGUACCAGGUCCUGGCCCCUGGACAUGGCAUCUCCAAAGCCCGUUUCAAGGCCUCUCUGUCUUCCCGACUGUUUUACCGUGUAUUCUGUACUUUGGCAAAAAAGUGCUUUUGUACUAUGUGUUGAAGUUGUUCUCACUCAUCUGACCACCCUCCUGGGGGCUGCAGGGGCAGAUCUGGAGAGUUGUUUGUACUGACCCCCCCUCCCCACCCCUGCCCAGGGACUCAGUGGUCUGUUUGAGUUUCCUUUCUCUGUAAAGUGGACAGGAUUUGUAAGGUUAUGUGUUGUGUUCCUGUGUUUGUCUGUAAAAAGGAGAACCAAAUUCCCUUUCCACUUCUCUAUUCUUAUUUGGCACAUAAAAAACAAAAAAAAAAAAACAAAAAACCUGGAUUUUGGCUAAAUGCCCUGAGCAGGGAGGAGCACAGCUUGGCUGGAACCCAGGGAACUGGCAGUGAGCAUGUGAGGACCAGGGGAGUUGGGGUGGGGUGGGGGGUUUGCAUUUUGUCUUGUAGACAGUCAGGAACUCAGGGACGCUUCAUGGGGGUUGGCAUGGGAGGUUGUGCUUAAAUGGGCCUCUGUGGGAUGACUCGCAGACACUGGGCUGGAGGGGCAGUGGCCAGGCUCAGGCUCGGGGUGGGGCUGAUGCUGUAGUCCAGGCAGGUGAUGCUCAAGGUGGGGAAGGUGGGGGCCGGGCACAGGACUCCAGGUAAUGGGCUUUGUAGACAGGAUGCAAUGGAGGGAGGGAGGGAGGAGUCCUGGGGAUGGUUCCUAUGUUCCUAGCACAGGCAGCUGAAGGGACGGCAGCCACAUUUCCGAAGACAGAGGACAUUGAAUCCAAGCCACCCCUGUGCCUGGAGCACCAAGUGUCCCGGUCCCCAUGAGCAGGGCCACAUGGGCAGGAAUUCAGUCCUGGGGCCCCAGGGCUCUGCUCUCCUCCUGGUUUGGGACGGAGGCCUUGGACUCUGCCUGGCCAGCCUGAGGCCUGGGGGUGCUAAUGUGGGGUCCCUGAAGAGUCUCACUAACAAGUCCAAUGUCACAUGGGGAUGAGGGAGGGUGUGGGAGGGGCUCAGGCCAGGACAAGACUGACAGGUCUUUUCAAGGACAGGCAUUGUGGUUGUCUACACAGUUAGCUCUGGCUCAGGGUAGAAUGGAGAGGAAAGGAGGGUCACAACCAUGGGUCACGUGGAAACAGUGGAGGAACAGGUGAUGGCUGGUGGGACCGAAGCAGGCCUCCAGGACAGCCUUCUACCAACAUCCAAGGGCCACAAGGGGUAAAACUAGGCCAAUGGGAGAAGCCCUGAGGAAGCCCUGGAAGGUGGGGGUUUUGGGGUGUGUUUGGGUCUGGGCUCUUAGAGGCUUUGGCUUCUGAGGGUCCCAAAUCUGGGUUGUAAGGGUCUUGAGACUCAGGUCAGGGUUCCCGAUGGCUGAUGGAGGGGGCCAUCCCUGCCCGUGCUCCCCACCUGGCCCGUCUGUGCCCUACCCACAAGAUCCGUGGUAUGGUUCCAGUGCUCCUCCCUGACCAGGGUCCCUCUGGAACGUGCCUCUUUCUUUCCUGUAAUUUCGUAAAGACAAGGACACAUCUUGUCUCUUGACUUUGGCAUUUACAUGAGCCCCCCAUACAAAUCUUUUUCCUUUUUCCUGGUGACACCAGGAGUUACAGCUCUCCUGAAACUUCCCCUGCGACUCCCAGCUCCCUCCUAUGGAAGCUUGGCCUCUGGGACAGAUGGGCCAAGGGCCCGUGUGUUGCUAAUGUCAAUGGUGUGGACCUAGAGCAGGAGGAAGUGCACCAUAGCUCCAUCACCCCGACACAUCACCCAUCCUUCAAAUUCUUUUCCCCUUCGAAUUCUUUUCUGUGGGUGCCUUUUUUUUUAGUGAGCAUACUUUUUUUUUUUUAAGAUUAUGAGCGUCCAUUUUUUAAAUCUCAUUGCCAUUGUUCACCACAUCCACCUUUUGCAUUUUGCUUUUUCCAUCUCAUGCCUGCCAUAGGCAUUUUCCUUUGUUCUGUGGUCUUUAUCACCUCCCUGGCUGCCUUGUGUCUCAUCGAAUGGCUAUGCCAUCAUUCACAAAACCAUUCUGCUAUUGUUUUGCAUAAAUCAUUUUGUUUUGCAUAAAUCUUUUUUUUCUGGACAUUAUAAAUGAUGCCACAGCUAAUGGCUUAGCACACCCACUUUUUUUUUUUCCGUGCUUACAGUUCUUUCCUUACAUCAGGAAACUGUAAUUGCUUCAUAACAUGUCAGUUUCUCCUGCUAGAUUGUGAGCCCCUUAAGGGCAAGGAGCUUGUUGAGUUGAUCUUUGUAUUUCCAGUGCUUGACAUGUUGUAGACUGUAAAUACAUGUAUGCUGGAUGAGUAGAUCAAGGGAGAGAUAUGAACGUGUGAGCAAGUGCGUGAGUGGUUGGCUGAUGAGUGAGCUGAUGGAAAGAUGGAGGAUAGAAGGAUGGAUGGAGGAAUGAAUGGGCUGGUGAGUGAGAGGAUGGAAGGCUGGAGGAUAGAAGGAUGGUGGAGGAAUGAAUGGGCUGGUGAGUAAGGAUGGAAGGAUGGAGGAUAGAAGAAGGAUGAUGGAGGAAUGAAUGGGCUGGUGAGUGAGCGAAUGGAAGGAUGGAGGAUAGAAGGAUGGAUGGAGGAAUGAAUGGGCUAAUGAGUGCGCAAAUGGAUUUCCUAGGAAUGAACUUCUUGAUUGAAAGACCGGAGAUUUUUGUAUGAAUAGUUGACUAAUGUCAGAAGGCUUAUAGCAUUUUACAAUGUCCAGCAGUGUAUUAGCAUUUUAUUAAGAUACGCUUAGUUUAUCUCUGUUAAAAAUGCGUUUCCGUCGAUUUAACUUGCCUUCUUUAAUUACUAACAAGAGUUGAACGUUUUGACGCAUAUCUGUUAAUGAACUGUAUUUUAUUUUCUGUGAACUGUUUGUCCAUGUCCAUGGGGUCAUAGCUUUUUGAAGAGACUCUUCCAGGACAGAAUGAGCAUCCCUGGAUGUAGUGAGCCCUCCAUCAUUGGAGGCAUUCAAAGGGUGGCCCAGGCAGCCACUCAGUGAGGGUAUUUUUAUGGGGAUUUAGGAAGUGGGUGUAUGAUUGGCUGAGAUGACCUUUCAGAUCUGCUUGACUUUAGGGUUUUGCUUCUUCCUGGGAAAUAAGUUUUGGGGACCAGAACACCUUCCAUUUUGCAGCCCAAGACAUCUAAAGUUGCGUCCACUGGGCAUGGGGACGUGCACAUAAUUUAUAAACUCUCUCAUUUUACCCUCGUGAUUCGUAUGAGGGACAGGAAUAUCUCUCGGAACCCCCAAAGUCCGGAUUCCCCUGCCUGGCACCUUGCAUAGUUAAUUGGCAAACUUCUCAUUGGUCCAUCUCUGACCCCAUUUUUCCUUGAGGAAGCUAGUCCUCUUGGACCUCCAUUUCCCCACCUCUGAUGGCAUACAACAGCAACACAUCAAAGGAAAUUGGGGGAGACGGCCUCCUGGCCCUUUGCCCUUCCAGUGUUGUAUGAUCUGUGAGCCCGUGUCCCCAAACCCCAGUCUCAGUGGAUCACCUCAGUGAUCAUCUUUUGGGUCUAAUUGAUGAAUGGAAACUUUUGGAUCAGGGCUGAGCUCCGUCGGUCCUGGUGAACGCUCCUUCAGCUUUCCUUCAAUUGGGCCAAUUAAAUUCAGUGGUCACACGAGCAGAGCAGACCCUAUGCCCGGCCCCAAAUUUGCCACAGCUCAAAGGUCAGCCUCAGCCAUUGGAGAGAGGACAUCAUCCAUGGGCCAGUCCCAUGGAGGGCUUGCCCCUGCUUCCCAGAGCACCCUCCUGUCUGGGCAGAGAACACCUUUGUCCCCUCAACCCCUCUACUAUAGCACUGAGUCCUGUUUGCCUGAAUCAGUUAGUCAUCCACAUGCUCAUCACAGUGUUGAUGCUUGGGAAGGCAGCGAUUAUUUUGACAUGAAUUUAAUCCAUUCAUCCAUUCAUGCAUUUGGCAGACAUUUCUUGACCUGGUGCUUCUGGCCUUCCCUUUUUGGCGAAAGCAAACCUUUUCGUUCUGGGCGGGCUGUUUACUGCCAUGGGCUGUGGUCAUGAAGUGAACACCCUCAUUUAUGGCUUCCUCCUCUGGAGUCACUGCUCUGAGCACGUCCUAGCUGGAAAUCACCUGCCACUGUUACUCACACGCUUCCACCUCUCCCAUGGUGCUCCCUGUGCAUCCCACACCGCAGCCGUGCUCCAGGGUGGGGGUUGGAGGGUGGCUGGGGCUGGACCCUCUCAUCCAGGAGCGGAGCUGUCUUCCCCAGGCCUCAACCUGCCUGGUGCAUGGUCCCUGCCAUGAGCUUUGCCUUCCGCCUUUCAGCUUCCUCCACUGGACAGCAGUGGUUGUAACUCAUUCAUUCCUUCCUUCACUCAUUCAUUCACUUACAGUCAACAAACAUUGUUAAAAACUAGCUAGUGCUAUACUAGAGCUGGGUCCCAGAACUGGUUCUUCCCUCUUCUUUUGGAAAGGAGAGCCCAGCGUGUCUGCACGGGGCCAUGUUUGUGUGUCAGGAGCUAGGUGAGAGUCUCCAUGUAGCUCAGUAGGGCUGAGUUCUGGUGAAAGUUUGAUUGCCCUUUCCGACUUGGUUUCUUCCAAAACUCUGUAGAUUACUAAUCAGCAAACUGUGUUCCCUGGGUGCUCAGAAAUCAAAGCCCAUAGCCUUAAGAGGCCACGAUGAGAGCUGGAGGUGGGGGCGGGGGGAGGGGAUCAGAGAUGAAUGGCUGAUUUCAGAAGGGCUUGGGCUCUUAAGUCAUUAGAACACCCUCAUCUUUCAACGCAGGCCAUCUUAGAACCAUUCCUGUCCCUUUUGAGCUUAUUGAAUCCUUGACUCCAUUUAAGGGAAAUUGGGGAGAUGAUUACUUGUGUGGGUGACGGGCUCACACACUGUGCUGGGCUCUGCAUGCAACUACCCAUUAGCAGACUUGGUGGCCCAGGCACAAGGGCACUUGGCAAAUCUAGACGUAGCCUGAGCAACGGGUGUUCGCUCACUGCUGCCUCCAUGACAUAGGUGUCCUUCCAGGGGCUCUACCAAGAAUUUGGAAUUCCCCACAUGGGAGAGUAAGUAUAGGAGCAAAGCCAGGGCCCUGGAACUGGACAAACGUGUGUGCCUUGUACUCACUGUGAGAGCUUGCGUCUGUUUUUUUUUUUGGGGGGGGGCCAUACACCCACCUCGCAGGGCUGUUGUGAGGACCAAUGUAACCAUGAUUUUGAAGUGUGCUUUCUAGAGGGUGGUGCGCGUGCCCCAGGGGGUGUGGCAGGGGAGUGGGCACCCAGGCCAGGAGGGGCAACCUGACCCAGGCAGCUUAGUAGGAAAAUAUUUUUUCUAAACAAGUAGGGGUAUAUUGUGGAAUGCUCAAUUUGUAGGCUAUUUUAAGAUGACAUUUGAGUCAUUUUGGAAGGGACAUUCAUGCUGAGGGUGGGGAGACUUUUUUGGAAAUGCCCUUGGACCCCCUGGGGUACGCAUUCAUGCUCUACUCUGUAACAGCUGGAAAUGCUUGGUGGCACCUCCUAAUUGUAGUGCAGUGUCUAGCACUGUCUGGCCUGUGGGCGGCACUUACACCCUCCCCCAAAAACGUUUGGCUCCAGCAGCAAAGACACUGCACAUUCCCUCCCCAAUAUCCUCUCCCCUCCGACAACAUCUGAGCAUCAAAUGCCAGCAGCCUUGGUGCCUAACACAGUGCCUAGCCAGUGGUAGGGGCUCACCUUUGACUUUUGUUGGAUGGUUGGAUGAAUGGAUGGAUGGGGGGAUGGGGGGAUGGGUGGAUGGAUGAAUGGAUGACAAAAUUGUAACAAAAUGCAAGCAGCGAUGUUUAUAACCUUUACUAAGAGAUUGUAUUUUGCUCAAAAUUAACCUGUUAACAAUUGUUGUGUUGUAUUAUAUGGACUUUUGUAUGAAAUGUGUUGAAAAACCAGAGUUCUUGUUUUGGGUGUCCUGCAAUGGAACUUCAGCUGAUUUGUGUUUAGAAAGAGCAUAGGUUUUAGAAUCUGGCAGACUCUGGGGCCACUUUCUGACUGCCCACUGUUGGGCCUGCCAUUUCACCUUUCUGACCCUCAGUUUCCAUUUCUUAGACCACAGUAACCUGAAGCCUACCUCACAGGGUUGUUGUGAGGGCUGAGGGGUGGGUAAACUGUACGGGCCGCCGUUGGCUCUAAUGGGAGGUGGGCUUAUGUUGGGGGUUGUCUCGAGCACACUAGUGGUGCCUUUGCUAGUACUAAAUGAAUAAAAAAGUUAGCUCUGA